CAGCAGCCGCGGUAAUACGUAGGGUGCAAGCGUUAAUCGGAAUUACUGGGCGUAAAGGGCUCGCAGGCGGUUUCUUAAGUCUGAUGUGAAAGCCCCCGGCUCAACCGGGGAGGGUCAUUGGAAACUGGGAAACUUGAGUGCAGAAGAGGAGAGUGGAAUUCCACGUGUAGCGGUGAAAUGCGUAGAGAUGUGGAGGAACACCAGUGGCGAAGGCGGCUCUCUGGUCUGUCACUGACGCUGAGGCUCGAAAGCGUGGGUAGCGAACAGGAUUAGAUACCCCAGUAGUCCCUGUCUCUUAUAC
rnacentral:rRNA from 1 species